CCAGGGCGAGCUGCUGGUAUUGUUGGUCCGACAACGUGGCCCUGGGACUCACACAUACUCCACCGAGCGGAGACCUCCUGAGGUCACAGUGGUUGGAUGAAAGCAUCCGAGCAUCAUCUAAGUGGAUUCCUUUACUUGGAGCUUCGCAACGAGCGCAAAGGAAGGUUGAAAUGUGUGAAAGCCACCGUGUGUUUGGGGGGGUUGUUCACCGCAGACAAUCAAUCCAAACACACAUCAUACCAGGGGCUUUUAAGUUAUGGACCAAAGGGCACAUUCAAAUAUUGACACUGUAUUGGUUUAAUUGAUUGUAACUCGAGUUUUAUUUGUACAUUGAUCCAUUUUGCUCUUGACUCAAACUCAUUUCCUACACUCAUGAAGCCAUACUGAAUGAAAUUUAGGAAUGUAUUUUUGCAAUAAUUUUGUGUUUUGGGAUGGUUUCGCACUGCGGAUGCAAAAUGUUUAAAUGGCUGGUUUUGUGUUUUCUUCUGCAAGCUCGGGUGACAAUGUGUGACCCCGUGGUCUUAACUGGAUUCCGCUAGAUAUGUGUGCCACAGAUUGCCAGAGAUAAGAAAGCCAAGCUAAUUAGAGAUCACAGAGAUACAACGGUUGAAUCACUUAUCUUCAGUAAUUAUCUGUGCCACAGAGGCCUAAUCUAACAAUCACCCCGUUUGAGUGACCUUUAGGGUGAAAAUAAUUUGCUAUCUCCCCCUGUUGAACUGGUCUAAGGUUCAGUUCAUCGCACCCCUUUUGCAUCAGCAAUAUCCGCGUCAUGGCACCAAUUGAAAAGUUAGGCCUAAUCUCAGAGCCUCGACAUGCUGACGGUUAGCAUCGAUCAUUGAGGUGUUAGCGCUUGUAAAAAUAAAUCGUAUAUUAUUGGAGAGAUACAUACACGUUGUUGAAGUAGAAGAAGUUUGCUGCGUCUCGAUGACUGAACAAUAUUAUCCUAUUUCCCAGUGGCUAAGGUGGCCAUACCAGAAGGAGCAGCACAAUGAAUUGGAUUGCAGCAUUAAAUCAUGCUGCACAAACUUUUUAACCACUUGAUAUUCUAUUCAAUAAUAUUACUCUGGUUUUUUUUGCCCUACCUCCUCUGCAGUUACAGACAGCACGCUGCGGCUCUUCUUCAUCCUGAUUGGCUCGUUCUGGGCCCCAGGGCGGAGCGUUCCGGAACCCAGGCAGCAGAGCAGGUGGAGAGCCAGGACCGGAGAGGUAACGGGUCACUCCAAGGUUAAACCUGGGUAGAAGGUGCUCGAGGGCUUAUGCGGGUGGUCGUUUUUGAGCGUCAAACCGGUUUGCCGUCUGCGUCCAUUGAGGCUAUCUCGUCACCUCAGGCUUCAAGCGGCUCAAACCGGACUCCUCGGUACACUCUCUGAGGCUCCGUUGUUUUGGUUUGGGUUUGGAUUGCUUGUUUGUUUGUUUUUUAACUACUGUGGAGAUUGGCACACACUCCACAGAGCUCACUCUACAUUCGAGGAAACAAAAAUUUUCAGGCGUAAAGAUCCACCAGCAUGUGCUCCCACUUGAGCCAGGCGAGGCAACAGCACACCCCAGUUAGGGUCCAUGAUGCCGCGGCCGGGAGACUUUUGCAAAAAAAAAAAAAAAUCCCCCAAUCCGCUAAUCCAACACGGAAUCUUCCUUGCAUAGUUCCGCCCUCGUUAAAAUCUGUCCCUGGUGCAGUAGUAAAUUCCCGAAGCGUCGUAAUCUGCGGUGACCUUUCGGGAUGUCGAGCAUCACUGCGCGGAAGUCGUCUCGGAAGGUCACGAGUUGCUUGAACGUCUCUUCACUUCAUUCUGUGAGGGAGCAACAAACAGCGUUCAAGGUCACCUCUAAGAGCAAUUUGUGAAGUUUUCAAAGUGUUUAAAGCACUCCACAGCUAAACUACAAAUAUUCUAAGAGAUCUGUGGAGAGUGUCGGUGUAGAUGGUGUCAAGGGGAUAAACACUUGAGUCGACAAGAGGAAGGACAAGCACUUUGACAAAAAUUAGAUGCCGUUUCAUAAAAGCCCGCAUGCAAGGAGAACCUUCAAAUCAACCAGGAUGGUCUGCUUGUAAGAAGCAUGUCCCUAUUUCACCUUGGGCAAGGUCAUCUUGUGUAUAUACGCACAAGCCAAUGGCAUAUUCUCAACCACAAACGUCGCUUGGUCCAACAGCAAAAUGAUUUUCAAAAAAGUAUCAAAGAAGGAGAGAAAUGACCAAAGUUAAUUUUCUUAUUCUCUCAUUCAAAACAAAAGAUGAUCCGAGGUUUUAAUGAGCAUAGAAUAUAUUUUGUUCGCCCAAAGUCACACAUUUAUCUGACAGAAGGCAACCACGCUUCUUAACGACAUCUUUAGGGCAAAGAAAAACAUUAAAGGGAAAUAAAGUGAUACAAUUAAAGAAUAUAUUUGCAACAUAUUAGAGAAAACAAAUCUGUUAUGUUAUUUAUAACUCCUUUUGAAACACUUAUUUGUUUUUAUUUAUUUACAACAAUGAAAGUAUAAUAUUACAGAAUCAUUUUGUUCUCGAAAUUCAAAUUCAACACUAUUCUCUUCAUAAUAUCGGUACUAUAUAACAUUUUUUUGAACAAUAGCUUUAUAAAUCUAUUCUCAUAACAUUUUUAUCAUAACAUGACUUCUAACAUUAUGAGAUCAUUCUCAUACCAUUGCAUCAAAUUCUCAAAAUAAUAUUAGGAUUUAAUAUUAUGACUUUAUUGUAGGGCUGCUAUGCUCCAGCACGGCCGCGACCCGUGGGAGGAUUAUCAGAUUUGAAAGUGGAUGGAUGGAUGGUUGUAGGGCUGCUCCUAACGAUUAUUUUAAUGAUCGAUUAACCUUUCAAUUAUUUUGUCAAUCGCCGGAUCGGAUAAAAAAAAAAAUCCAUCCUCUUAGUUAAAAACUGGAUAUUAUUUUUAAAAGACAAUUGUGAUUCUGUGACGGUUUGGUCUGUAACAUGUCAGAAAAUAGGCAAAUAUGUCAGUUAUGGUUUUCCAAUGUACAAGCAAAUGUGCUUUUUCAGAUCAGUCUGCUUUCAUGGAGGACUGGAGAAAUCGGAUUGAUAUUUUCUGUUGGACAAAUUUACCAACAACAAUAAAAAAAAUUUUUUUAAAGGAUUCAACGAUUUUCAAAAGUAGUUGUAAAUGAAUGAUAUAAUCAAUUAGUUGUCAAGUGUUGCCCUCCUAUUGGAUUGUUUUUUACCGUGUAAAAUUAUGACUUUUUAGAAUGUUACGAUCUCUUUCUUGCAACAUUGUGCUUUUGUUUUAGUAAAAUACAACUUUAUUCUCCAAAUAUUGUAGUGUUACUUUUGUACCGUUGUGACUUUUUUUUCUUGUUACAUGAUGACUUUAUCAUGACAUUUUGCAACUUAAUCAUAAUUUGACUGGUAUACGUUUUCUUGUCUUUUGUCCAUGAUGCAGUGAAACGAGUCAUUGUUGUGAGAAAUGCUUCAUACUUCGGGCACUUUAAAAAACACUUCAUCUGAAAUUCUAACAAACCAUUUUUGCCUGGCGAUUUCCCAGAAUUGAAAUCCCUCGCAGAUCUCUUGUCUCGAGCAAGACGACGCCGGCACAUAAAUAUAAACACGGUGUCAUUGUGGUGGCCUUGCGGGAGCGCGAGCUGAUUCCGAGAGCAUACUGCAACACCAAAUCUCUCUCCCGUUAUGUAAUUACUCGGAGCCGUCCGACGCUGACCCAAAUUCCUUUUUUUUUAUAUUUUAUUUGAUUUUUUUUUUGCAUUCGGAGGUGCUUAGCAUUUUUUAUCACCUGGCAUCAUACACGCACGCACGUAGGGUCAACUAGUCUGCAUGCGCACAAACACACUUUGGGAGGAGGAGGAGGAGGAGGAGGAGGAGGAGGGUGACACAGUGACAUACAUGCAGGAGGCAGAUAUGAAGAUGCAGCAGAAGGGAUGCCCCUCGUACGCACACACGGAUGACACGUCAGGCUGCAGCAUUUUUUUUUAAACGACAACACACUCACCUUGAUGGCGUCCAGAUGAAGGCGGGCCGUCCCUCCUCCUCCUCCUCUUCCUUUUCCUCCUCCUCUCCCUCCUCCUCCUCCUCCUCCUCCUUCUCCUUCUCCUCCUGCUUGCUGUCCGUGCUGACUGCCUGCAGACGAGUCGCGCAUGUGUCACAAACACUCUGCGUCUUCAUAAAUACCAGCUUCCCACCCUCCCCGGAUCUCCUCUCAUUUCCUCCUCCUCCUCCUCCUCACCAUCAUCAUCAUCUUCACCCAACCAGCUAGCCAGCCCCCACCCACCCAUCUCCUCAACCCCCUAACCAGUUUCAUGGCGAAGCCCGUUGCAUCCCCUCCCCUCCUUUCUCCCCACAUUCACUGUCCAA